rnacentral:rRNA from 1 species
UCGGCUUAGAGUUUGAUCAUGGCUCAGAUUGAACGCUGGCGGCAGGCUUAACACAUGCAAGUCGAGCGGUAGGGGAGCUUGCUCCCCACGAGCGGCGGACGGGUGAGUAAUGUCUGGGAAACUGCCUGAUGGAGGGGGAUAACUACUGGAAACGGUAGCUAAUACCGCAUAACGUCGCAAGACCAAAGAGGUUCGUCUUGCCAUCAGAUGUGCCCAGAUGGGAUUAGCUAGUAGGUGGGGUAAUGGCUCACCUAGGCGACGAUCCCUAGCUGGUCUGAGAGGAUGACCAGCCACACUGGAACUGAGACACGGUCCAGACUCCUACGGGAGGCAGCAGUGGGGAAUAUUGCACAAUGGGCGCAAGCCUGAUGCAGCCAUGCCGCGUGUGUGAAGAAGGCCUUCGGGUUGUAAAGCACUUUCAGCGAGGAGGAAGGUGGUGAGUAAUCUCAUCAAUUGACGUUACUCGCAGAAGAAGCACCGGCUAACUCCGUGCCAGCAGCCGCGGUAAUACGGAGGGUGCAAGCGUUAAUCGGAAUUACUGGCGUAAAGCGCACGCAGGCGGUUUGUUAAGUCAGAUGUGAAAUCCCCGGGCUCAACCUGGGAACUGCAUUUGAAACUGCAAGCUAGAGUCCU